rnacentral:rRNA from 1 species
UACGGAGGGUGCAAGCAUUAAUCGGAAUUCUUGGGCGUACAGGGCGUGUAGGCGGGAGCGCAAGUCAGACGUGAAAUCCCGGGGCUUAACCCCGGAACUGCGUUUGAAACUGCGCUUCUUGAGGUUGGACGGAGAAAGCGGAAUUCCACAAGUAGCGGUGAAAUGCUUAGAUAUGUGGAAGAACACCUGUGGCGAAAGCGGCUUUCUAGUUUACACCUGACGCUGAGGCGCGAAAGCAAGGGGAUCAAACAGG